CGGGUGAGUAACGCGUGGGUAACCUGCCUCACACUGGGGGACAACAGUUAGAAAUGACUGCUAAUACCGCAUAAGCGCACAGUACUGCAUGGUACAGUGGUAAAAACUCCGGUGGUAUGAGAUGGACCCGCGUCUGAUUAGGUAGUUGGUGAGGUAACGGCCCACCAAGCCGACGAUCAGUAGCCGACCUGAGAGGGUGACCGGCCACAUUGGGACUGAGACACGGCCCAG
rnacentral:rRNA from 1 species